rnacentral:rRNA from 1 species
GACGAACGCUGGCGGCGUGCCUAAUACAUGCAAGUUGAGCGAUGAAGAUUGGUGCUUGCACCAAUUUGAAGAGCAGCGAACGGGUGAGUAACGCGUGGGGAAUCUGCCUUUGAGCGGGGGACAACAUUUGGAAACGAAUGCUAAUACCGCAUAACAACUUUAAACAUAAGUUUUAAGUUUGAAAGAUGCAAUUGCAUCACUCAAAGAUGAUCCCGCGUUGUAUUAGCUAGUUGGUGAGGUAAAGGCUCACCAAGGCGAUGAUACAUAGCCGACCUGAGAGGGUGAUCGGCAACAUUGGGACUGAGACACGGCCCAAACUCCUACGGGAGGCAGCAGUAGGGAAUCUUCGGCAAUAGACGAAAGUCUGACCGAGCAACGCCGCGUGAGUGAAGAAGGUUUUCGGAUCGUAAAACUCUGUUGGUAGAGAAGAACGUUGGUGAGAGUGGAAAGCUCAUCAAGUGACGGUAACUACACAGAAAGGGACGGCUAACUACGUG